ACGCUCGACACCUACGGAGGCAGCAGUGGGGAAUAUUGCACAAUGGGGGAAACCCUGAUGCAGCGACGCCGCGUGAGCGAAGAAGUAUCUCGGUAUGUAAAGCUCUAUCAGCAGGGAAGAAGAUGACGGUACCUGACUAAGAAGCACCGGCUAAAUACGUGCCAGCAGCCGCGGUAAUCUGAGCGGGCUGGCAAGGC
rnacentral:rRNA from 1 species